rnacentral:rRNA from 1 species
GACGAACGCUGGCGGCGUGCUUAACACAUGCAAGUCGAACGGAAAGGCCCUGCUUUUGUGGGGUGCUCGAGUGGCGAACGGGUGAGUAACACGUGAGUAACCUGCCCUUGACUUUGGGAUAACUUCAGGAAACUGGGGCUAAUACCGGAUAGGAGCUCCUGCUGCAUGGUGGGGGUUGGAAAGUUUCGGCGGUUGGGGAUGGACUCGCGGCUUAUCAGCUUGUUGGUGGGGUAGUGGCUUACCAAGGCUUUGACGGGUAGCCGGCCUGAGAGGGUGACCGGCCACAUUGGGACUGAGAUACGGCCCAGACUCCUACGGGAGGCAGCAGGGGGGAAUAUUGCACAAUGGGCGGAAGCCUGAUGCAGCAACACCGCGUGCGGGAUGACGGCCUUCGGGUUGUAAACCGCUUUCGCCUGUGACGAAGCGUGAGUGACGGUAAUGGGUAAAGAAGCACCGGCUAACUACGUGC